GAAAAGAAACCAACAGGGAUUGCCCUAGUAACGGCGAGUGAAGCGGCAACAGCUCAAAUUUGAAAUCUGGCGUCUUCGGCGUCCGAGUUGUAAUUUGCAGAGGGCGCUUUGGCAUUGGCAGCGGUCCAAGUUCCUUGGAACAGGACGUCACAGAGGGUGAGAAUCCCGUACGUGGUCGCUAGCCUUUACCGUGUAAAGCCCCUUCGACGAGUCGAGUUGUUUGGGAAUGCAGCUCUAAAUGGGAGGUAAAUUUCUUCUAAAGCUAAAUACUGGCCAGAGACCGAUAGCGCACAAGUAGAGUGAUCGAAAGAUGAAAAGCACUUUGGAAAGAGAGUUAAAAAGCACGUGAAAUUGUUGAAAGGGAAGCGCUUGCAGCCAGACUUGCCUGUAGUUGCUCAUCCGGGUUUUUACCCGGUGCACUCUUCUACGGGCAGGCCAGCAUCAGUUUGGGCGGUUGGAUAAAGGUCUCUGUCAUGUACCUCCUCUCGGGGAGAACUUAUAGGGGAGACGACAUGCAACCAGCCCGGACUGAGGUCCGCGCAUCUGCUAGGAUGCUGGCGUAAUGGCUGUAAGCGGCCCGUCUUGAAACACGGACCAAGGAGUCUAACAUCUAUGCGAGUGUUUGGGUGUCAAGCCCGAGCGCGUAAUGAAAGUGAACGGAGGUGGGAACCUUUCGGGGUGCACCAUCGACCGAUCCUGAUGUCUUCGGAUGGAUUUGAGUAAGAGCAUAGCUGUUGGGACCCGAAAGAUGGUGAACUAUGCUUGAAUAGGGUGAAGCCAGAGGAAACUCUGGUGGAGGCUCGCAGCGGUUCUGACGUGCAAAUCGAUCGUCAAAUUUGGGCAUAGGGGCGAAAGACUAAUCGAACUAUCUAGUAGCUGGUUCCUGCCGA
rnacentral:rRNA from 1 species